CGCGUAGGCGGCGGCGUAAGCGUGCGGUGAAAGCCCGGGCUCAACCCCGGGUCGGCCGUGCGGACUGCGUCGCUCGAGCACAGUAGAGGCGGGUGGAAUUCCGGGUGUAGCGGUGGAAUGCGUAGAGAUCCGGAAGAACACCGGUGGCGAAGGCGGCCCGCUGGGCUGUGGCUGACGCUGAGGCGCGACAGCGUGGGGAGCAAACA
rnacentral:rRNA from 1 species